rnacentral:hammerhead_ribozyme from 1 species
CUACUGCUGAGGAGUCGCACAAUGAGACGAGACGGCCGUCUAGUGC